UGGCGGCAGGCCUAACACAUGCAAGUCGAGCGGUAGAGAGGUGCUUGCACCUCUUGAGAGCGGCGGACGGGUGAGUAAUGCCUAGGAAUCUGCCUGGUAGUGGGGGAUAACGCUCGGAAACGGACGCUAAUACCGCAUACGUCCUACGGGAGAAAGCAGGGGACCUUCGGGCCUUGCGCUAUCAGAUGAGCCUAGGUCGGAUUAGCUAGUUGGUGGGGUAAUGGCUCACCAAGGCGACGAUCCGUAACUGGUCUGAGAGGAUGAUCAGUCACACUGGAACUGAGACACGGUCCAGACUCCUACGGGAGGCAGCAGUGGGGAAUAUUGGACAAUGGGCGAAAGCCUGAUCCAGCCAUGCCGCGUGUGUGAAGAAGGUCUUCGGAUUGUAAAGCACUUUAAGUUGGGAGGAAGGGCAUUAACCUAAUACGUUAGUGUUUUGACGUUACCGACAGAAUAAGCACCGGCUAACUCUGUGCCAGCAGCCGCGGUAAUACAGAGGGUGCAAGCGUUAAUCGGAAUUACUGGGCGUAAAGCGCGCGUAGGUGGUUCGUUAAGUUGGAUGUGAAAUCCCCGGGCUCAACCUGGGAACUGCAUUCAAAACUGUCGAGCUAGAGUAUGGUAGAGGGUGGUGGAAUUUCCUGUGUAGCGGUGAAAUGCGUAGAUAUAGGAAGGAACACCAGUGGCGAAGGCGACCACCUGGACUGAUACUGACACUGAGGUGCGAAAGCGUGGGGAGCAAACAGGAUUAGAUACCCUGGUAGUCCACGCCGUAAACGAUGUCAACUAGCCGUUGGGAGCCUUGAGCUCUUAGUGGCGCACGUAACGCAUUAAGUUGACCGCCUGGGGAGUACGGCCGCAAGGUUAAAACUCAAAUGAAUUGACGGGGGCCCGCACAAGCGGUGGACGAUGUGGUUUAAUUCGAAGCAACGCGAAGAACCUUACCAGG
rnacentral:rRNA from 1 species